AAUGACUCUCGGCAACGGAUAUCUCGGCUCACGCAUCGAUGAAGAACGUAGCAAAAUGCGAUACUUGGUGUGAAUUGCAGAAUCCCGUGAACCAUCGAGUUUUUGAACGCAAGUUGCGCCCGAAGCCUUUUGGCUGAGGGCACGUCUGCCUGGGCGUCACAC
rnacentral:rRNA from 1 species